GGGCCCGCACAAGCGGUGGAGCAUGUGGUUUAAUUCGAUGAUACGCGAGGAACCUUACCAGGGCUUAAAUGUAAGUUGCAUUAGCUAGAGAUAGCUAUUUCUUCGGACUACUUACAAGGUGCUGCAUGGUUGUCGUCAGCUCGUGCCGUGAGGUGUCAGGUUAAGUCCUAUAACGAGCGCAACCCCUGUUGUUAGUUGCCAGCGAGUAAUGUCGGGAACUCUAACAAGACUGCCGGUGCAAACCGUGAGGAAGGUGGGGAUGACGUCAAAUCAUCACGGCCCUUACGUCCUGGGCUACACACGUGCUACAAUGGUCGGUACAGAGAGCAGCCACUACGCAAGAAGGAGCGAAUCUAUAAACCCUAUCACAGUUCGGAUCGGAGUCUGCAACUCGACUCCGUGAAGCUGGAAUC
rnacentral:rRNA from 1 species